rnacentral:lncRNA from 1 species
CUGGGGGUCCUUUCCAGGCUAUUAACAGCAUCUGUCAAACUUUAUGAAAUCCUUCUUUUCUUUCCUAGGUCACUACUGCCCCAGGAAUACAGAAUUUGCCUCGCAGUACCCUUGUCCUCCUGGAACCUACAGCGAAGCUUCAAAUAUCUGGGAUGCUUCCAAGUGCCAGCUGUGUCCUCCUGGAAGGGUCUGUUCCAAACCAGGCCUACAGAGACCAGAUGGACUGUGCGCACCUGGAUGGUUUUGUCCACCUGGAUCCAUGUCAAGCAAACCGGUGUUUCCUGGAAAUCACUCUGCAGGCAUGGCAGCUCCAGCUUCUAGAUCUUUUGGGCAGUGCCAAGCAGGAACCUUUUGUCCUACUGGUUCAUACCUUCCUAUUCCCUGCCCACCAGGUAGGAGAAGCACCCUUGUCCCCCCCUGCACAGGUUUUGUAUAUUUAUUUAUUUAUUGUACAUACUCGCUCCCCUUUUGCCAAAACCACUAGGCAAUCCUGGUCUUGUGAUACUAGUAUUUCAUUUCUGGUGUCUCUCAAAUUGCCUCCUGCUUCAGGUUUGUACUGUGCAACUGCAGAGCUUGCAGCUCCAUCAGGUCCCUGUGAGGCUGGCUUCUACUGCACAGGGGGCUCCAGGCUCCCAAACCCUAUGGGUGGUGCAGUGGGGAACAUCUGUCCUCGAGGUCACUUCUGUCCUGCAGGAAGCUCCUCUCCAUCUCCGUGUCCCCCAGGUAGGUUUGCCAGCAGCUGCUGCAUACCAGCAUUUUUCUUCCCGGUGCUUGGUGAGCUGCUGAGCUCAUCUGAGGCUUUGCCAUUGUUUUGCAGCCCCUUGUUAUUUUGCACUGAAGCAUGCCUUUAUGUUGCCCAAGGGGCAGCUGCUGUCAGCACGAGAGCUUAGCCUCUAAUCCGGUGCUGUUGUAUUGGAAGCAUCAGCCCUAAAUGUGCAUUCAGACAGUAAUUACACAACAGCCUCAGUCUGUGGCCUUACUUGCUGCUGUGCAGCAGUGGGGGGGAAGCUCAUUCCUGAGCCAUCCUGAAGGAAAGGUCACAGCCACGGUGAGCAGAGCACAUGUAAGUCUCUGCUGCUCUCCCUGCACGGUGAGAGCUGUCCUCCAACAUCACCUUUAAUGAGACUGCCAAUUAAAUUGAAUGAGAAAGACUUAGAUGCUUGUUUCUUCCUUGGUUAAAUCUACAGUUAUAUUAAGCAAGUGACUGUUCUGCUGUGCCUGGACCAGAAAUAAAUGGGAGUUGACCUCAGCCA